GUUUUAUAGUCUAGGGAGCUUCACUACGUCAGAGGGGGGUCUGCAGUACUAUCUAUGGUUAGUAAGGAGUGGAAAGUUACUAGCGUUAGGGGGGCUACAUUCCUGGUUACAUUCCUAGGGUGAUCUCUUAUCUCAGGGGAUUAAGGGAAAAGGAAUCCUGCCGCUUUCCGUCACAUCGCGUGAUCUUCCGUACGCCUGUCCCUAUCUACCACACUCCUCAAAGAGAUCAUACUCAGGUCCAGAGUGCCUAUAGGGAUGUUAUCUGAUAGGGGACCUAAUUUUAUAUCUGAAGUGUUAUAUUGACUUAGUAAACAGUUGGGUAUAAGUACAUACUCCAUGGAGACCACAAUCUAGUGUAAGGGUUGAGCAAAUGAAUCAAACUUUAAAGAGACAAAUUAGCAAAAUUUGUCAGGAAACUUUCUUGAAAUGGUCACAGGUGUUACCAUUAGCUUUGUUAUGAAUUAGAGUGCAGCCCCGAACUAAGCUGAUGGUGAGCCUAUAUAAGUUGAUGCUUGGAAGACCGUAUUCUGUUGCAACUUUCUCUGGAUCUGAAGAAGAAAUUGGGAAUCAGGAAAUAAAAAAAUACUUCAUUUCAUCAGGGAAAUCCUUGAAUGAACUAAAAAGGUUUAUCAUUCUCUCAAAACCUGUUACACUAGAUACCCCAGUUCAUUCAUUUCAGCCUGGGGAUCACAUACACAUCAAGACUGGAAAAUAUGAAGCACUUCAGGAGCGUGGAAAGGAUCUUAUCUAGUUCUGUUGACUACAAGAACAGCAGUGAAAGUGAAAGGAGUUAACUCCUGGAUACAUUGCACCCCAAUUAAGAGGGUUCCCGAUUCAGAGUGGGCAGUGGAAAACACCAGACCCCUGUGGCUGAAUAUUUUGAAGACAUCUGUAAACAAGCAGCAAAAUGUACAGACUAAUUAUCAAUGCAGGGCAACCCCAAAGUAGGGAAUAAUGUGCGCUGACUCCGUGAUUUCAGAAGGCUGAUGUCCUAGGUUGACUAUAUGAUGCUUUUAUCCCCAAUCAUCUGUUCUGUUUAUGCUGAAUAAUAAGUUCUGCACCUUUUAGACUUGUUCCAGAGAGUGAAGGGGGGAGAGAAGAAGCACACAGUUUGUUUUCAGAAAACUGCACUCACUCCUCCACAUUCCUGCUCCUGGACUGUGUUGUCUGCGGAUGGACAGAUGGCGGGACAGAGCUCUUGUUUGCUUUUAGUUAGCUUUAGCUAGCUGAGGCAAAGAAGUUCCCUGGACCGUGGUUUUUUUUCCUUUUUUCCCUUUUCUGUGGACCUGUUUAAACCUGCUCUGGACUGAACACCCAGCAGAGCACUGGCACCUCGCAUCUGUGGCCCGCCGGGCUGGGCCUGGGCCAUGGAAUUUCCAGCGCUGGAGGGACUGAUAAGAGACUGAGUGAGCUGAACUGAGAUCUGGAAAGGGGACUUUCUAGGUUUGUCAUCUCUUUUGGAGCAGCAAGGGGUUUUAUUGUUUAAUAUUUUUUUUUUACGUUUUCUUGUUUAAUAAACAGGUUUUUUCCACUUUUCUCCAAGGAGGUAUUUUCUCCCAUACUGGUUAGGGAGAGAGGCUGAUUGUAUCUGUUUUCCUAGAGGAGCCCUUUGGGAGUUCUCUCCCAAAUUUGCCCUGAACCAGGACAGCUGAACAAUUGCUUUAUUAAGCUACAUUAUGUUACACUAUAUUACUAUACUAAAACUAUACUAAAAAGAUACUAAAGAAAAACCUGCGACUGUCUCAGACAGUCACGGCACAGCUUUGACUCAACUGGCCAAUCAAUCCAAACAACCAUCACCAGAGUCCAAUUAACAAAUCCCUUUCAGUAAGCAAUCUCCAUAACACAUUCCACAUGUGCCAAACAACAGGCGCAGCGAACAGAGAUAAGAAUUGUUUUCUCUUCUCUCUCUGAGCUUUCUCACUGCCUUCCCCAGGAAAAAUCCUGGGAGAGAGAAUUAUGUCUCUCUCUGUUCAGAGAAUGUGAAUGCCACAUCUCACUCUUUUUACUAUAAUAAAAAAUGAAAGGAACUGUGUUUGCAAUUCUUGUGCUGGGCGCUUGCAGAAGAGAGAAAAAACACAGCCAGAGAAGUUCCCUUAAUAAUUUGCUGGUUGUCAAGCAGAACCUCAAUCAGAUGCUGACUGUCCUAGGGUGACGUUAUGAUGCUUGUAUCCCAAAUUGUCUGUUCUGUUUACAAGGUGGGGAGAAGAAGGAGUGUGGCAUUCACAUUCUCUAAAAAAAUCUCUUUGCCCAGGAUUUUUCUCCUGGGAAGCUGAGAAGCCUCAGAGAAAAAGGAAAACAAUUCUUUAUCUCAUUUGCUUGUCCUGUGUUGUGCUCAUGUGGAAUGUGUUUGGAGAUUGUUUACCACAGGUGAUUGUUCCAUUGCAUUCUGCUGGGAGUUGUUUUCACUCAUUGGCCAAUUAGGGCCAAGAUGUGUUGGGGCUCUGGAAAGAGUCACGAGUUUUCAUUAUUAUCUUUUUAGCAUUCAGUAAGUAUCCGUUCUGUAUUCUUUAGUAUAGUAUAGUAUUCUUUAAUAUAAUAUAGUAUAGUAUAAUAAAGUAAUAAAUUAGCCUUCUGAGAACAUGGAGUCAGAUGCAUCAUUCCUGCCUUCGUCAGGGCUUCCUGCAAAUACAAUAAAGGAGCACGGAGUUUCGUUAUCAGCUGACUCUCCCCCACAGUCUGCUGGAACACAGAACUCCACUGUUGUUGUCAGGGCACAGAUGGGGCAGAACAGAGUGCUCCUUUUGCUUUUUAGUUAGUUUAGCUAGCUGAUGCAGUCUGAGUUUUCCCUGGACUGUUUUUCGUUCCCUUUUCUUGGAACCGUUAAAACCUGCUCCAGACCAGGACCCAGGGAAACACCGAGAGCCUGCACUUUGUAGCCUGUCGGGCCUACUCUGGGCAGCGGCCUUUUCCCAGUGCCGGAGGGACUGAUAACAGAGUGACCACUCCCAGGAGAGACUUUCUGAAUUUGUCAUCUCUUCAGAGCGACGAAUGAGUUAUGUCAUCCGGUAUUGUUCAUUUUGUGUGCUGGGGAGUGCUUUGCCUGUUAAAUAAACAGGGUUUCUUCCACUUGUCUCUGAGGAAACUCUUCCCAAACCAGUGGGGGGAUGGGCCGUGUAGGUUUGCUUUCUAGAGGGGCCCCUUUUAGAGGUUUUCUCCCAAAUUUGCCCUAAACCAAAGCACUGAAGUAGAAUGAUCAGGGAGAUUCUUUACCUGUAGAAUAUCAACUUCUAUAAAAUCACUAAAACAAGGUUUACAAUAGAAGAAACCAAACAGCAAUGCAAAGAGUAAUCAUUGUUUCAAGUCCAAACAGCUGAGUUUUAGGAGAAGGUUCAUUGACUGGAGAUGUUGAUCUUUGACAUCCCUGAAUUUCCUUCUUGGUCCUGAAACAGAGAACUGCUGAAUCCUGAAACAGAGAACAUCUGAAGAAAGUCACCAACAACUAUUAGAAAUCCAUCAGAUGACAUUAUAUAAUUAUCAGGUGUUAUGAACAAAAAAAUGUUACCGUUUUUUUUAAGAGAAGGAGCAGCAGAGGAGUUUUUGAGAUGAUCUGAGAGUUGAUCGUUGGCCAGGAGUUCUUUGUUAGUGAAAUGCUGUAAUCGCCAGUUGAGUAUCCUUAAGUAUCGCCAUUUGACUCUCCAUUGUGGAGGAUUCUUGUUUUUCAGCACCACCCUAGCCUGUUGCCAGGAGGAUGACAACCCCCCCCUCGGACGGUGGGGAGAGGGGGAUAUUUGCAUCUCAGGAGAUAUGCAAAUUUAUCUCCAAACCCAGACUGCAUUGGGACAGGACCUUUACCAAAUCCUGGAAAAUACCCCAAAAGAGGUGAGCCAAAGCAGAAUUGAGAGGUCAGGGUGGUGUAUGGACAGCAGGGCCGAGGUCCGAAGCUGGCAGAGACACUGAGAACCUCGGUCACUCCUCGCCCCAACUACAAACGAUGCCAGUCAGACCCAGGACCCACUGAACUGACAACUCAAAAGGAGAAAACCCUGGGUAUACCCCACUGCCUUGCGAGGACAGGACUCCCGGCCCUGCCCCCUUGGGGACAGAGCUGCAAAUCCUCCUCUUCUGAUUCACUGCUGGGAGCGGUGGCAGAACUCCACGGAUCUGCCAAAACCCCCUUUUUUGAGCUGAUCACUUUAAUAAAGGCGUUAAAAGAAGAAAUAUCUCCCGCCCCGUUUAUUUCAUCAGGCACUAUUGAGAAAAUCUGUGGAAUGCCAUGGCCACAGCCUUUAAUUCAACCACUUGAGCCGAGGCUGGCUCGUGGCUUUCCAGUACUUUGAGCUGGCAGUGAAAACGGCAGCUUUUUCCACAUUUUUUUUUUUUUUUUCAGAAAUUAGCAGUGGCAGUCGGUCUUAGGACCCAGUGGCAGUGGGCGGGGCAGUGGCCCCGGACCCAGUGGGCAGGCCAAGGCAACCAAACACGGCCGAUGGGGCGGGGUCUUUUUUCUCACUGCCCGCCCUCACCAUGCUGCCAGUGUCUUGGCAACUCCUCCAGCAUUUCACCCUUCCCCCACCCCCCUUGUCAAAAUGGGAGGAAGGAUUGCAGGAGUGGCUAACCGCCUCCUCCUCUCCUCACUCUCUCCAGGACCACUGGUCCGUGUCGGCAAAUGGGAAGGAGAGGUUUUCCCAAGAAUAUGAAAUUCCAUCCUGGAUUCGGGGUUCUUGGCACCACCCACGCCUGCCUAGGACAAGUGGGUGAUCCGCGCUACCCCCUGUACCUCUCUCCCCCGCGAUACAAGUGAUUGUUGCCCAGCUCUCUGAUUCGCGGCGCCACUCCCAUUCCCCCUGGGCAUGAGACCAGCAGCGGCAUUCUCGGAGACUGCCCCUCCCUCCCCGCAGACACGAGCGAGAGGGGUGAGGUGUCCCGAGCCCCUGUGGGAACCCCAUGGAGCAAGGGCACCCCCCGACCAACAGAGUUGGUCCCAGAAAAAUGUUCCCCAAAAAGCCACUGAGUGUCAGAGUUCUCAGCCUGGAGGCACGAGCUAACAGCUGCCAAGCUGUAGCAGCCACAGGGCCUGCAAGGUCUCCAUAGCAGUCACUUGCCUAAGAUAAGAAAUGCCUAGUCAUGAUGACUGGACCAAGAAGCCCCUCUUCCUCCUUCGGACCCUUCUUAUCUCUCUGUAAAACCAUAGAUCAUAUUCGCCUCGACCCUUAUAUUGGACUGUUUCCCAAAACCCCUAUACCCUAUAUAAACCCCUAUUUCUGUGCUGUACAGCAGAAGAGCUGUCACUGUGACCCUUCACAGAAGCUGCCAAUAAAGACACCUCUGUAGAACCUCAUACAGCCUUCUCCUCCCUCUCCCUGCAUCUGCUGAGGCACUUAGCAAGCAAAGAGCAGAAAUCACUAAAGAGUUGAAUUCACCCAAGAGCUGAUCUCACUUAAGAGCUGAGCUGCUUGCUAAGAUUGCCUGUGACUGGGACCCUGCCUGAGGGACCUGGACGGGUUGUGCUUAGCAGGACUUUGCUAUCCGGACACCUAUGGCAGCCGGGGUCAGAGAGACUCCAAAUACCUCCAGCUGUAAUAAAUUGGCACCCCAAACUGGGCUGCUGGCAUCCUAGCACUCCAGAGAGCGGCACUCUUCUUGAAUCAUCAAUGCCUCGGUUCGCUACGACCUCCUGAAGAUAAGUUCUCCCUUAUAGAAGAAGUUAUCUGAACAGGCAUCCAACGACCUUCCACAUCAACAUCUGGGAUGAGAUCCUGAGGAGUUGGACAAAGCAGACCACCCACCAGCAGUUUUUGACCCACAUUCAGCUGAAGAAGUCUAAGUUUUAAAACAGCCUUUCUUGCACGCUUUUACCUUGGGUCCUUUUUGGGUUUUUUUCCUUUUUUUUUUCCUAUUUCUACUGCCGGAGGAGAAAAGGGAAUUAUACCAGAAUGGGAUCAAAACCUAGUAAAUUAAAAUGAUACCGGUAUGAGAGAGACUUAUAUUUACAAAUCCUAGAAAUCCUAUCCGCUAGCACCUUUUCUUUAUCUAAAGGCAAUCUCUCAAAAACUAACUUGAAAAAAUGUAUAAAAUGGAUUAUUUCCCAGUUUCCAGAUAUUAACACAAACGCUAUCGCUCUAGAUUCUUUUUGGGACAGAGUAGGGACAAGAAUAUAUUCUCUCCAAACUAAUGAAGAUUUUUCUGUAACUCGGUUAUUACCUCUUUUUCAUUCUAUUACCAAAGUAGUUGAAAAAACGAAUAUAAAGAGCUCAAUUUCUUUGCAACCUUCCCCUGCUGAGGGCAUUCCUAGCUUAUCUCUCCCACCAGAGACUCUCUCUUCAAAUGCUAAUAACACAGACAACAUUCCUCUUCUCUCAGUCUCUGAAUGCUAUCCUCCGCUUUCUCUGGGUCCAAAUGCUACCUCUGGGGCCGCUCCACCCUCGGGCCCCCUUCCUGGGACGGGGAACACGGAAUUCGCCGACAGAAUCGUUGCGAUCUUUACUGUUAGCCAGGCAACCCCCGGCUGAGGGGGAGAACCCGUGGCGUCUGCUGCCAGAAUCCAGGGCCUGGUGCCCACCGACUGCUGCCCGAUUUCAGCUGCCAGCUUCUUCCGAGCCACCUCCCAAACAGCAAGCCAGGAUCUCCAGGCCGUGACAGGCGAUGAGAUUGAGAUGAGAUGAGAUUGAGAUGACCCUCCGGACAAGGAGCGCUCGCGUCCCCUCCCCCCGCUGUUUUUCUCUCAGUUCUUCAGUACGUAUUUCAAUAUCUUACUGCGAACUCGUAGCAGAGCCCUGACUCCACCAGGGAGCGCUCUGACUCUCUGCAUGUAAUGGAAGCGAUAACAAGAAAAACGAACACGGCAGGAAAGACAGGCAAGGGGUGGAGGAAAACGCCGCUACGACUCGCUUCGCGCAUGCGCGGGGGUGGUUGUUUUUCACAAAGCUGUUCUUAAAGUGAGCUGGCAGCGCGCGGGCCAACUGCCUCCGUACGGAUAUCGCAGUGUUGGGCGGCUGCCGUUGUCUUCUCAGCAAUUCCGAUGAAGCGUUCGUAGGGGACACGCUGAUCUUGUUGGCAGGCUCUACGCAGCAGAGGCGUUGUUCAAUGUAAAGUUAAGGUCGCGUUUUGUAUGAGACCCUGGCUUUUUUUUGUUUUCCUUGCAGCAUAUUUUUAUACACUUCGUUAAAAAUCAUGGUGCUAGGGAAGGUGAAGAGUUUGACAAUAAGCUUUGACUGUCUCAGUAACAGCAAUAUCCCCGUGUAUUCUAGCGGGGACACAGUCUCAGGAAGGAUCAGUUUAGAAGUUACUGGGGAAAUUAGAGUGAAAGCUCUUAAAAUUCAUGCAAAAGGACAUGCAAAAGUACGUUGGAGCGAAUCUAGAAAUGCUGGAUCCAACACUGCCUAUACACAAAAUUACACCGAAGAAGUAGAGUAUUUUAACUAUAAGGACGUUCUAGUCGGGCAUGCAAGAGAUGAUGACAAUUCAGAAGAAGGCCUUCACAUCAUUCAUUCAGGAAGGCAUGAAUAUGCAUUCAGCUUUGAGCUUCCACAGAUACCACUUGCUACCUCAUUCGAAGGCAGACACGGCAGUGUGCGGUAUUGGGUGAAAGCUGAAUUGCAUAGGCCUUGGCUUCUACCAGUAAAAUUAAAGAAGGAAUUUACAGUCUUUGAACAUAUAGAUAUCAACACUCCUUCGUUACUGUCACCCCAAGCAGGCACAAAAGAAAAGACUCUAUGUUGUUGGCUUUGUACCUCAGGCCCAAUAUCUUUAAGUGCCAAAAUCGAAAGAAAGGGCUACACCCCAGGUGAAUCAAUUCAGAUCUUUGCUGAGAUUGAGAAUUGCUCUUCCCGUAUGGUAGUGCCAAAGGCAACCAUUUACCAAACGCAGGCAUUCUAUGCCAAAGGGAAAAUGAAGGAAGUCAGACAGCUUGUUGCCAACCUCCGUGGGGAAUCCUUGUCAUCUGGCAAAACAGAAACCUGGAAUGGCAAACAGUUGAAAAUUCCACCUGUUUCCCCUUCAAUCCUUGACUGUAGUAUAAUCCGUGUGGAGUAUUCACUGAUGGUAUAUGUUGAUAUUCCAGGAGCUGUGGAUUUGUUCCUUAACUUACCACUUGUCAUUGGUACCAUUCCUCUACAUCCAUUUGGUAGCAGAACAUCAAGCGUAAGCAGCCAGGGUAGCAUGAACAUGAACUGGCUUGGUCUGACUCUGCCUGAAAGACUAGAAGCACCUCCUAACUAUGCAGAAGUGGUCACAGAGGAAAACAGACAGUCUGGCCUUGCACCUGUAGCUGCUUUUGAUGAUUUUCAGAGAGCACUGCAAGGACCAUUAUUUGCAUACAUCCAGGAGUUUCGUUUUCUGCCUCCUCCCCUAUAUUCGGAAAUUGAUCCAAACCCAGAUCAGCCCACAGAUGAGAUACCGUCUUGCCCCUCUCGUUGAAGGAAUCCAUAAAAAGCUGACUUGACUUGGGUUUUGAAUCACACCUUCUGUGUUGAAGAUCAAGGUGUCAUAGUGGAGACUUGCUUUUAAAGGAAAUGGGCCAGUUCUCUUCAACAUCUUCAUAAACGCCUUGGAUGCAGGACUUGAAGGUGUACUAAAUUUGCUGACGAUAAUAAAAUGGGAGGAGCUGUUGACUUCCUCAAAGGCAGAGAGGCCCUGCAGAGAGACCUUGACAAAUGAGAGGGCUGGGCAAUCACCAACCAUAUGAAGUUCAACAAAGGCAAGUGCCAGAUUCUGCAUCUGGGAUGGGGCAACCCUGGAUGUAUGGGCAGACUGGGGAACAAGAGACUGGAGAGCAGCCCUGUAGAAAGGGACCUGGGGGUCCUGGUCAAUGCCAAGUUGAAUAUGACUCAGCAGUGUGCCCUGGCAGCCAGGAGGGCCAACUGUGUCCUGGGGUGCAUCAGGCACAGCAUCGCCAACCAAUUAAGGGAGGUGCUUGUCCUGCUCUGCUCUGCACUGGUGUGGUCUCACCUUGAGUCCUGGGGGCAGUUUUGGGUGCCACAGUAUAAGAAGGAUAUAAAUCUAUUAGAGAGCAUCCAAAGGAGGGCUACAAAGAUAGUGAAAGGUCUAGAGAGGAAGCUGUAUGAGGAGUGGCUGAGGUCACUUGGUUUGUUCAGCCUGGAGAAGAGACUGAAGGGAGGCCUCAUUGCAGUCUACAGCUUCCUCAUGAGGGCAAGUGGAGGGGCAGGCACUGAUACUGAUCUCUUCUCUCUGGUGACCAGUAAUAGGACCUGAGGGAAUGGCCUGAAGUAUCGGGGGAAGUUUAGGUUGGAUAUUAGGAAAAGGUUCUUCACCCAGAGGGUGGUUGGGCACUGAAACGGGCUUCCCAGAGAAGUGGUCACAGCACCAAGCCUGACAGAUUUCAAGAAGUGUUUGGAUGAUGCUCUCAGGCACAGGGUGGGAUUCUUGGGACUGUCCUGUGCAGGGCCAGGAGUUGGACUUUGAUGAUCCUUGUGAGUCCCUUCCAACUCAAGAUAUUCUAUGAUUCUAAGAAGCAAACAAAAAAUCCAACGGCUUUAAUCAUACAUUCAUCUAGAAUGCAAAAACUUAUAUAGAAAAAGCACUGACUCCUUGAACAUAUUCUAAAGAAGAAAUGAAUGAUGGAGCUAUUAGAUCUGUUCAGUGUUUUUAUGCUAGAGAUUUGUAAAUGUAAGUUUUCUUUUCAGAAAUCAUGUAAAAAAAAAAUAGAACCAACCACCAACAACAAAAAACCCCACCCAAAGCAAAACACCAACAACAAAAACUAUUGUCUCAGACAUGUCUGAUGUUGAUUAUUUAAAAACUAAUUCAUCAUGUGGAUCCUUGUGCAAUGAAACAGCUCAGAAGGGAGGAGAGGGGAGGGAAAGCUGAUGUUUCUGUAUUGUGCUCAUUCUUACAAAGUUAUGCCUUAUUUUUAAGGCUUCAUAAAUAUAAUAAAAUAGGCUUUUCCAAAAGUGGCCUUUAUGAGAACAUGAAAGAUAUUUUAUGUUCCAAAAAUUAUGACAGGGUGAUUAAAUGAGAGUCACAUCUUAAGUGAUUCAGUUCAAAUGUUUGGACUUUGAUAAGCAAGAAUUGGAAAUUGGGUGAUGUAUUAAGCUGCCAUUUUUGUGACUGUCCUUUCCUUCAAUCCUUUCUAACCAGACAAAAUUUUACAAGUUAAAAUUGUUGGCAUAAAAGGGCAUUUGAUGAUUUUUUUUUUUCUUUUUUGUUAACAGACUAGGGAACAAUUAUUGAUAUAUGUAGCAUUGAAGCACUUAUCCCAGUAUAUUGGAAAAACUAUAUAUGAAGCAAAAUUGACCAAUGUCAUAAUUUAUGUUGCAUCACAGGCUGUGAUCAGAGUGAAAAAUUCUAAAACCUUAUCAAAUAAAGAUUUCCCACUUAAACUUUUUAUUUGUUGUUCAGAGGCAUUAUAGGUUCGUAGUUGUAGCCCAAUAUUUGAUACAGAAUCUUGAUCUGAAUUAAGAAAAAGUAAAAUCCAAGCAUUAGAGAAACAAAGUGCACUAUUAAUUGUUUGCUUUAGAGAUUCUAUUCUGUGGCUGGGUUUUGGUUGGGGUUUUCUGUUUGGUUGUUUUUGGUUGUGUUUCUUUUUUAAAUUAACUUUUGGUGCUGAAUAUGUCCUUAUGGACUUUGUUUUGGGAGAACUAUGUGGAAAACAAUUAAAUUUUUUCUGUUGUUCUUCCUUGUGAAAAAGAAACUUUAAAAUUUUGUUUAAAUGCUUUAAUUGUAAUCUGUAAGUUUGUUUGUGAUUUAAACAUUGAAUAUAUGUCUUUGUGUAAGAUAACAGCCAUAGGGAUCAAAUUGCUAUCAGAAAUGCAUAUGCUAUGUAUCAACUACAUUGGGAAAAAAUAUUUCUGGAGCUACACCACUGAUUAGUACAAGAGCUGAGUUUCAGCACCUUCAGUUCCUUUACCUUGUUUAUAUCAAUGGUUUCUUAGGGCUAGGUUUCAGCUGGGAAGCUCUAAUACAAUCUCCUAAACUUAGAAAAUACCAAUAACUUACAGGAUAUUAAUGUUUUUUUCAGGACACUGCUUAAAAAUUACUGUAACUUGUGACCUCUGAUCAAGUUGUUUAGUGUUUUCCAGUACAUAUGGUGGGGGCAGGGGCUGCACAUAUUUGUAGGGGUGGGAGGAAACUGGGGAAGUGGAAUUACUUUAAAAGCCAGAUAACUCAGUGAUUUGCAAUUGGGAUCUGAAGGUUGGUUUGUUGAACUGGGGUCAACAAGGUAUGUCUUGCUGUUUACUUAGACAUCUAAUGUUACCAGAUGUUGAAAAUCACUAUCUGUGAUUUGUGUUUUGGUCAGUAGAGCUUUGCAAGAUAUUAAAACAGCUCCUCAACAUUCCAGAAAUGAAGCACUGCCAUAGCAUCUUGUUUCUGUAUACUGCACACAGCUGAACCUCUGAAAGAACGGAAUAUCAUCAUUGCUUGGUAUCAAAGUGUCUUUUGACCUAAGGCAAGGUUCACUAGGCUAGCAGCUGGGACUCAGGAGUCCAGUAAAUGCUGUUCCUGACUGUUGGUGUUGAAGGUACCAAAGACUGCUAAAUUAUCAUGGUAUUGUUACAGGAGGUUUUAUGGUAUAUGCUACUAACAUAGACAACCCAAACAUUGGAUCUAACUCCUUGUAUAAUGCAAACAGUAGACUUCCUAAAUGCAUGAAUUAUUAUAUCAAAUAAAGCAUGUUUAUUUAAUUUUGAAUUUGCAAUUGCCAAGUAGGGAGAAUCCAGAAAGAUCUUUUUGGUGCCCAAUGUGAGGCUCGAGGGCACAUAAACAAAAAGGGAAUAACAGUUCUUGAGUAAUCUAAUUUUUUCUGUGUGGCUAUAGAAACCUCGUUAGGCGACACCAUGUGGUCCAGCUUGCCCUGGUUUGGGUGACACGUGAUCGUGGCUGUAUUUCUCCCUUUUGCAGGCCCUUAUCUGAACAUGGGUCCUAUAACCAAGGCUACUGUGGCUGUUAUCCGGUUUGCUUUAUGGGCGAAUAAGUAGGUCUCCUGAAGGUGAAAGAGCAACGAGUGCCAAUUGCCACCUCGACUGUGCACCGCUGACAGUACCGGAAAAAUCGAGAUGCCGUAAACCCAAACAACAAAAUGAUCCGUGAGUUGGAGAGACAAGGGGUGGUCAGCGAAACCCAUUCACCCUUUAACAGUCCCAUCUGACCUGUGUGCAAGUCUGACAGAAAAUGGAGAUUGACUGUGGACCAUCAUGGCUUGAAUGAAGUGACUCCACCACUGAGCGCUGCCGUGCCGGACAUGCUGGAACUCCAGUACGAGGUAGAGUCCAAGGCAGCGAACUGGUACACCACUAUUGACAUUGCCAAUGCAUUUUUCUCCAUUCCUCUGGCAGCAGAAUGCAGGCCUCAGUUUGCUUUCACCUGGAGGGGAGUGCAGUAUACCUGGAAUCGAUUGCCCCAGGGGUGGAAGCACAGUCCCACCAUCUGCCAUGGACUGAUCCAGGCUGCACUAUAAAAGGGUGAGGCUCCAGAACAUCUGCAGUACAUUGAUAACAUCAUUGUGUGGGGGAACACGGCAGUGGAAGUAUUUGAGAAAGGAAAGAAAGUCAGCCAGAUUCUUCUAGAAGCCAGUUGCACCAUCAAAAAGAGCAAAGUCAAGGGACCCGCCCGAGAGAUUCAGCUCCUGGGAGUAAAGUGGAAAGAUGGACGGCGUCAGAUCCCCAUUGAGGUCAUCAACAAGAUCACCACAAUGUCUCCACCAACUAGCAAGAAGGAAACGCAAGCUUUCCUAGGUGCCAUAGGUUUUUGGAGAAUGCACAUUCCUGAGUACAGUCAGAUCAAGAGCCCUCUUUACCUGGUCACCUGCAAGAAGAAUGAGUUCCACUGGGGCCCUGAGCAGCAACAAGCCUUUGCCCAGAUCAAGCAGGAGAUCACUCAUGCAGUUGCCCUUGGCCCACUCAGGAUGGGAUCAGAGGUGAAGAACAUGCUCUACUCUGCAGCCAGGAACCAUGGCUUGUCCUGGACCCUUUGGCAGAAGGUCCCUGGGGAGACUCGGGGUCAGCCGCUAGGAUUUUGGAGUCGAAGCUGCAGAGGGUCCAAAGCCAACUCUACUCCAACCGAGAAAGAAAUCUUGGCUGCCUAUGAAGGAGUCCAAGCUGCCUCAGAGGUGAUUGGCACGGAAGCACAACUCCUCCUGGCACCCCGACUGCCGGUGCUGGGGUGGAUGUUCAAAGGAAAGGCUCCCACCACCCACCCUGCCACUGAUGCUAUUUGGAGUAAAUGGAUUGCUGUAAUCACACAGCAUGUCCGUAUUGGAAACCUGAAUCACCCUGGGAUUUUGGGGACAAUUACAAACUGGCCGGAAGGUGAAGACUUUGGUCUCGCUGAUGAAGAGGAACAAGAGCAAGUGACACGUGCUGAAGAAGUGCCACCAAACAACCAUCUACCAGCAGAGGAAACACGCUACGCUCUUUUCAUGGACAGUUCCUGUUGCAUUGUAGGGAUGAACCGGAAGUGGAAAGCAGCCAUAUGGAGCCCCACAUGCCAGGUCGCUCAAGCUACUGAAGGAGAAGGUGGAUCGAGGCAACUCGCUGAACUCAAAGCUGUUCAGCUGGCCCUGGACAUUGCUGAGAGAGAGAAAUGGCCAAGGCUCUACUAUUACACUGUUUUGGGGAUGGUAGCUAAUGCUCUGUGGGGAUGGCUGGAGAGGUGGAAAAAGGCCAACUGGCAGCAUAGGGGAAAACCAAUUUGGGCUGCUGAUGAGUGGAAAGACAUUGCCACUCGGUUGGAGAAGCUCCCUGUGAAAGUCCGCCAUGUAGAUUCCUAUGUGCCCAAGAGUCGGGCUAAUGAGGAACACCGAAACAACAAACAGGUAGAUCAGGCAGCAAAAAUAGAGGUGUCAAAGAUAGACUUACAUUGGCAACAUAAGGGGGAGUUGUUCCUAGCUCAAUGGGCCCAUGAUGCCUCAGGUCAUCAAGGUAGAAAUGCCACCUAUAAGUGGGCACAAGACCGAGGGGUAGAUCUAACCAUGGACAGUAUUUCUCAGGUUAUCCAUGACUGUGAUUUGUGUGCUGAGAUCAAGCAGGCCAAGUGAGUGAAGCCCCCAGGAUAUGGUGGGUGGUGAUCCAAACACAAGUAUGGAGAGGCCUGGCAGAUUGACUAUAUCACACUGCCCCAGACACGCCAAGGCAAGCGCUACGUGCUGACCAUGGUAGGAGCCACCACUGGGUGGUUGGAGACCCACCCUGUGCCUCAUGCCACUGCCCGAAACACCAUCCUAGGCCUUGAAAAGCAAGUCCUGUGGAGACAUGGAACCCCUGAGAGAAUUGAGUCAGGCAAUGGGACCCAUUUCAACAAUGGCCUUAUCCACACCUGGGUGAGGGAACAUGAUAUUGAAUGGUAUAUCAUAUCCCCUACCAUGCACCAGCUGCCAGGAAAGUUGAACAGUGCAAUGGACUACUCAAGACUACCCUGAAGGCACUUGGCCGGGGGGACUUUUAGAAAUUGGGAAAUGAACUUAGCAAAGGCCACCUGGAUGGUCAGCAUCCGAGGGUCCAUCAAUUGAGCUGGUCCUGCCCAGUCUGAACCCCUGCACACAGUGGAUGUAGAUAAAGUCCCUGUUGUACACAUGAAAGGUAUUUUAGGAAAGACUGUUUGGAUUAGUCUCACCUCAGGCAAUGACGAACCCAUCCGUGGGAUUGUUUUUGCUCAAGGACCUGGUUACACUAGGUGGGUAAUGCAGAAAGAUGGAGAAACCUGUUGUGUACCACAGGGAAACCUAGUCUUAGUGAGAAUUGUGUGUAAGGUUUUGUUGUGCUGCAGAUGGAAAUAGAAUAAAGUGUGGAUAAUGUUCCAGA